GUAUCGUUAAUUAAGUGUUAAAACUCUACUUUCUGAUUAAUAAAUAGUUUUUAAGGCGUAAAUACUUAUUCCGAAUGCGAUUUAUUGAAAUUACAAUUGACACACAAUUGACCCUUUUUUUACACUUCACACAUUUUAAAUGUGCCCAGUUUUUGCAAACUAUGCAUUGAAUCAACUUUUCUCUUGAUUUCGGGUUGGAAUAACUAUUCGAACAAACGAGGCAAUAGUAUAGAUUAUGGUUAUGUAGCGAUUGACAGCGGCACAACCAGCCCCAAGCGAAAGGCACAAUUAACCUCGUUGCGUCAACGCUCACUUUUUAUCAUAUAUUAAAAAAGUAGAUAAAUAAAAUGUUAAGAUCAAUACACCAUUGAAUCCCUCGAUAAAUUUGGAUCAUUUUAAAAAAAAAUACGUAUCGAUAUCUUUAAAAAUGCAAAAAAUAGACCAAAAAGUGUAAACAUGAAAACUUGCACGUUGAUAUACAUAAUGGUGCGUAAUUAUAUACGGAAAACGAAGCUUAUUGCGACCAAGAAAUUGGUGAUCAUCUGAAGAACAUUGGUUAAAACUCAGAUUCUAGUUUAGACGAAUUUUAAUGCAAUAAUUGAUAUUUAUAAAAUGUUCAAAACAUGUGAUUAAUUCUUUAUAUAUCAAUAUUGAAUAGUCUAAAUCCAAUAAAAUAAAGAAAAUGAAAAUUUA